CAGCAGCCGCGGUAAUACGGAGGGAGCUAGCGUUGUUCGGAAUUACUGGGCGUAAAGCGCACGUAGGCGGUUACUCAAGUCAGAGGUGAAAGCCCGGGGCUCAACCCCGGAACUGCCUUUGAAACUAGGUGACUAGAAUCUUGGAGAGGUCAGUGGAAUUCCGAGUGUAGAGGUGAAAUUCGUAGGUAUUCGGAAGAACACCAGUGGCGAAGGCGACUGACUGGACAAGUAUUGACGCUGAGGUGCGAAAGCGUGGGGAGCAAACAGGAUUAGAUACCCCUGUAGUCCCUGUCUCUUAUAC
rnacentral:rRNA from 1 species